CAGCCAUAUCACGUUGAAGCACCGGUUCCCGUACAAUCACCGAAGUUAAGCAAUUCAUUCUAGUCAGUACCUAGAUGGGUAACCGUUUGGGAAUACAUGGCACUGCAAG